rnacentral:rRNA from 1 species
UGGCAGAGAUGCCUUAGUGCCUUCGGGAACCGUGAGACAGGUGCUGCAUGGCUGUCGUCAGCUCGUGUUGUGAAAUGUUGGGUUAAGUCCCGCAACGAGCGCAACCCUUAUCCUUUGUUGCCAGCACGUAAUGGUGGGAACUCAAAGGAGACUGCCGGUGAUAAACCGGAGGAAGGUGGGGAUGACGUCAAGUCAUCAUGGCCCUUACGGCCAGGGCUACACACGUGCUACAAUGGCGCAUACAAAGAGAAGCGACCUCGCGAGAGCAAGCGGACCUCAUAAAGUGCGUCGUAGUCCGGAUCGGAGUCUGCAACUCGACUCCGUGAAGUCGGAAUCGCUAGUAAUCGUAGAUCAGAAUGCUACGGUGAAUACGUUCCCGGGCCUUGUACACACCGCCCGUCACACCAUGGGAGUGGGUUGCAAAAGAAGUAGGUAGCUUAACCUUCGGGAGGGCGCUUACCACUUUGUGAUUCAUGACUGGGGUGAAGUCGUAACAAGGGUAACCGUAGGG